UGGCCGACACCAUGACCAGCGUGGGGAC
rnacentral:piRNA from 1 species